GCUCUCAUAGCUCAGUUAGGUAGAGUGCAUCCAUGGUAAGGAUGAGGUCACCGGUUCGAGCCCGGUUGAGAGCU
rnacentral:tRNA from 2 species